UGUUAGCUCAUCAACCAGGGGACUGGAGCAGCUGUCACUGAGAAAAGGCUAACACGUCCACUGUACUGGGAUCGGGGAAGAAGUGCCAGCACGGCAAGACAGCUGAGAAAACAACACAAAGAUGCACCAACCCUCACAGAUUCUUCAAAGUCGGACACCAGCGGUUAUCACAGCGCUUGACUGCAUCAAGGAGACAAAGGGAGCUGUGCAGUGUGCAAACACAUGCCCGGAUUGUGUGUGGGACAGAUAAAAGGUGGAAAUCAGUGACGAGGUCACUACGGAUACAACAAGGAGCAACACAGCCUGAACCACAGACCGAGAGGAUCACCCCCCCCACCCCACCAUCCCCCACCUCCAUCCUCGCUGCGGGAAUUGCCGGUGUCUGGGUGCACAGAGGAUGUAUCUACUGCUGGCAUUGUUAUCCGUCUUUAAAAUGAAUCCAGUAUGCUAGGAUUGUCAAUUAAACACUCGCAUUUCGCCGGAUUUUAUGAGCCACGGAUUUAAU
ensembl:lncRNA